CUGGUAUGUGCUGACUGGUUUUGGAGUGAGGUAGCGUCAGGAUGUAAUGAUCCAUGUGUUUUGUUAAGUGGGAAUAGAGGAGAAUAGGAGUAGAUUGUGUUGUGUUGGUUGUAGUAAACUCUCUAGGUCUUAGGAAUCCAUAGAAAGCUAUGUAUAUUGCUGCUUUGAUGACACAAUUUGUGUUGGUGUCAAAAGGUUUUAAAUCAAGCAGGUUAGACAGUGCUUUGAAGAUAUGGUUAUC